GUCGACGAGCGAGAGAGAGCUUGCUUUCUCAGCGAGUGGCGAACGGGUGAGUAACGCGUGAGGAACCUGCCUCAAAGAGGGGGACAACAGUUGGAAACGACUGCUAAUACCGCAUAAGCCCACGGCUCGGCAUCGAGCAGGGGGAAAAGGAGCAAUCCGCUUUGAGAUGGCCUCGCGUCCGAUUAGCUAGUUGGUGAGGUAACGGCCCACCAAGGCGACGAUCGGUAGCCGGACUGAGAGGUUGAACGGCCACAUUGGGACUGAGACACGGCCCAGACUCCUACGGGAGGCAGCAGUGGGGAAUAUUGCACAAUGGGGGAAACCCUGAUGCAGCGACGCCGCGUGGAGGAAGAAGGUCUUCGGAUUGUAAACUCCUGUUGUUGGGGAAGAUAAUGACGGUACCCAACAAGGAAGUGACGGCUAACUACGUGCCAGCAGCCGCGGUAAAACGUAGGUCACAAGCGUUGUCCGGAAUUACUGGGUGUAAAGGGAGCGCAGGCGGGAAGACAAGUUGGAAGUGAAAUCUAUGGGCUCAACCCAUAAACUGCUUUCAAAACUGUUUUUCUUGAGUAGUGCAGAGGUAGGCGGAAUUCCCGGUGUAGCGGUGGAAUGCGUAGAUAUCGGGAGGAACACCAGUGGCGAAGGCGGCCUACUGGGCACCAACUGACGCUGAGGCUCGAAAGUGUGGGUAGCAAACAGGAUUAGAUACCCUGGUAGUCCACACCGUAAACGAUGAUUACUAGGUGUUGGAGGAUUGACCCCUUCAGUGCCGCAGUUAACACAAUAAGUAAUCCA
rnacentral:rRNA from 1 species